rnacentral:rRNA from 1 species
UACGUAGGGGGCAAGCGUUGUCCGGAUUUAUUGGGCGUAAAGAGCGUGUAGGCGGCUUUACAGGUCCGUUGUGAAAACUCGAGGCUCAACCUCGAGACGCCGGUGGAAACCGUAAAGCUAGAGUCCGGAAGAGGAGAGUGGAAUUCCUGGUGUAGCGGUGAAAUGCGCAGAUAUCAGGAAGAACACCCGUGGCGAAGGCGGCUCUCUGGGACGGUACUGACGCUGAGACGCGAAAGCUAGGGGAGCGAACAGG